UAGUCACAAAUGCUAAGUGGCACAGAAAAAGAAGCAAUUUGCAUGAGCCAGAGUAUUUAAAAGGCUUCAUGGAAGAUGUGGCACUUAAAAACAGGACUGCAAUGUUUGGAGCUGGAAAACAUCUUGGAGAACAUCUGGUCUGAGGCUCUGAAAUAGUUCAUCUGAGUCUUUUUUUGUUUUGUUUUUUUGGUUUUUUUAGAUGAAAUCUUGCUCUGUCACCCAGGCUGGAGUGCAGUGGUGCAAUCUCAGCUCACUGCAACCUCCACCUCCUGGGUUCAAGAGAUUUUCCUGACUCAGCUUCCUGAGUAGCUCGGACUUCAGGUGCCUGUCACCAUGCCUGGUUAAUUUUUGUAUAUUUAGCAGAGACUGGGUUUCACCAAGUUGGCCAGGCUGGUCUCAAACUCCUGACCUCUUGUCAUCCAACCUCCUUGGCCUCCCAAAGUGCUGGGAUUACAGGCAUGAGCCACUGCACCCAGCCGUUCAUCUGAGUCUUAACAGCUCAUAAAGUUACCUCAAAAGCCUUCCUUGAAGCCAAUCAAGGAGGCUCCCAGGUCUCAACCACAUUUCAACAGCUCCAGUUUUAUAUGUUUACUUUAUGGGGGUCCUGUUUAAGCUCUGUUUGAACAAAGAACCCUACUCCUUCUUUUUACAUUGGAACCACUGAUCCAGUCGAAGCUGCUCAUUUUACUGAUGAGAUCACCGAAGCACUUUGGGAACUUUGCCAAGCUCACACAUGCCUUGAACUGAAAAGAAUGGCUCCCAGGCAGUUAAGAAAAAGACAGUACUCCAUCCUGGAGAUGAUAAUCCCAGCUCAGCAGUGGAUACACAGGCGGAUGUUUAGCAAGCUUUAUAAAAACCAAUCUUAUUAUAAAAUGUUGAUGCUUCCUCACCAACUUGUGUUUCCUCCUUAUUUUAUAAAAUGUGGAAUUUAUUUCAGACUAGAGCUUGAGUCAAGCACCUGAGUUGGAAAGACCAAAAGUCAGUUCAGAGGCUAACUCUUGAAAAGCACUAUGAAAUCUAUAAUUCAGAUCACAUGGAGAACUGAGUUGCUCUUCCUCUCUGCUGGUGAAGAAAAAACAGAAGGUAUCCUCUCAGUGUCCCGAUGUAUUUAGGUGAACGAUGCCCACCUCAAACCCACUUAAGCACAAAGAAAAUUUACAAGCCCAGGCAAUGGGAAAAUUCAGGGCCGGCUCAUGCUCAGCUGAAGAAGGAGGAGCUCAAAUUGUGUCAGGAGGAAUCCAUCUCUCCCUCUCUUGUCUGAGCUUCAUCCUGUUGUCUUCAUCCUCACUCAUGCUUUCUUGGAGAGAAGGCAAAACCCCAACAAUUGCAGAUAGACAAACUUAAAGUUCUCUAGCAAGAGAGCACCUCUGGCCCAGGGGAUCCAGGUAUUGAGUUGCAUCUCAGUGACUCAAAUUGCCUCUCGAGCCCCUCUUUGGAUGUAUUGCUUUGAUCGCAUGCCUAACCCUGACACUGGGAUUUGAGAAUUUACCAGAGGUUACCUCCUGGUAGAACUGAGUCUUCAAAGAUGGAUCCUACGCCAAGGACUAUGAGUGGGGAGGGGUGGCUCCCCAGGAGGAAAAGAUAGGUUCUGUUUCAGGAAGAAGGGACACUGAGCAGGUCAAACCACAGCUGUGUACUCCCUUCACCUACGCAGCUCUGCGACUCUCUGUGCUAGUGGACAAGGCACACCUGAUACCUUUGGAGGGCUUUAGAGUAGCUAAAUAUUAGACACUAUUAGCCAAGCUAGCCUGCCCAUUCAUUUGUGUUCAUUGAACAAAUGUUUAUUUGUAGUAAGCCACAAACUUAAACUGAGCUCUUUCCGGAAGCCUAUUGGGUAAAUCAACUUCCCAGAACCACUGUGUCAGGAAUUGCCAGAGGCUUCUUGCUAGCCACGCCCCUGGGGACAGACCUGGAGUCUUGGCUGACUGUUAGCUACCUUUUUUUUUGUUGUUGCCUCUGGUUCCUAGGUGUUUUCUCUUCUCCUAACUCUGGCUAGGCAUUGUCAGGCCGCCAAGUCCAAACCUGGCCAUUAUAGCCUUGGUGACCCGCACGUACUCCUCCGGAUGGUCCCCAGGAGCCAGAAAGUCUGAACCACAAGUAAGCAGGUGGGCACAGAAAGAAGUGAAACAACUUGUUCCUGCCUCAACUAAUCGCUCUGCCCCUGCAACCUGCAACCAUUGUUCCUGCUCAGCCUUGUGAAGCUUCCCUGCUGGACAUUGGGCUUCUCAGGACCCCACCCCUGUACCUAUGCAAUGUAAUUUACCUCACCCUCCCCUCUGCUAGCAACUGAUAACCGCCACCCUUAUGAUCACGCCUGUUUGUAAUAGGUGACCCCUUACUUGUGACCAUGCAUCCUGUGAUGCCCUUCCUCUCCCUAAAAUAGGUUACCACCUUUAACUGACCACUUGCCCCAACCUAUAAAGCCAACUCCUAUCCCCUUGCCCUCUGCUGACUCCCUUUUCUGACUCAGUCCGCCUGCCACACUGGUGAAUAAACAGCCAUGUUGCUCAGACAAA